UAUGCUUCUCCUAAAGACUAAGCCAUGCAUGUCUCCGAAUACGAGGAAGCAAUUCUCUCUGAAUCUGCGAACGGCUCCGCAAACCAGUUGUAAACUAUAGCAAGCAAGCCCAGGCCGGCCUCACGGCCGGCUUGGGUAACAAGGAUAACCCUGGUAAUUCUGAGGCUAAUACAUGACCGUAAACCUUGGUUGACCGGACCUUUUCGGAGGCCUGGAAGGCUGAGGAAUGUGCGAUUUGAGGCUUGAGUAAGCCAGGAGGGGGCGCACAUUCAGACCGCGUUACAAAGGAAGGGGGUUCCGGCUCUUUCGGGGGCUGGUUCCUCUGCCCCAGCGGCUCUUGCUGUGUGCUUCUGACCUAUCAACUAGAUGGCAGCGUAAAGGACAUGCCUUGGUUACAACGGGUACAGAGGAUUAGAGUUCGAUCCUGGAGAGUGGGCCUGAGAGAUUGCUCAUACUUCUAAGGAAGGCAGCAGGCGCGCAACGUUCCCCUUGGGCAAAGCUUGAGGGCGUUAGGGGACAUAUGAAUGCCUGCCCUUUGGGUGGGCAAUUCAAAUGGGUCUGUUCUAAACAGGCUCUCGAGUAACAAUUAGAGGA
rnacentral:rRNA from 1 species